AACGCACAUUGCGCCCGCCAGUAUUCUGGCGGGCAUGCCUGUUCGAGCGUCAUUUCAACCAUCAAGCCCCAGGCUUGUGUUGGGGGCCUGCAGCUGCUGCAGCCCUUUAAAACCAGUGGCGGGCUCGAAGUCGAACCGAGUGCAGUAAAUUUCUUCGCUUGGGAAGGUGACGAGUUCCGGCCGUAAAAAGCCCAACUUUAUCAAGGUUGACCUCGGAUCAGGUAGGACUACCCGCUGAACUUAA
rnacentral:misc_RNA from 1 species